rnacentral:sRNA from 1 species
CCCCACUGAAGCGCAGGAAGCCUUCAGGAUCAGGAAGACCGACCACCGCCAGGACGGCACACGAAGGGAUCUCGAACCGGUCAGAAAAAACCCGCCUCGGCGGGUUUUUG